rnacentral:rRNA from 1 species
UAAUCCUACGGGGGGCAGCAGUAGGGAAUAUUUCUCAAUUUUUUAACCCCUUCAUCCUCCCCUCCUCUUUUCUUCUUAAUUUUUUAGGAUUGUAAACUCCUUUUUUAAGAUAAUAUUAUUACGGUAUCUUACGAAUAAGCACCGGCUAACUCCGUGCCAGCAGCCGCGGUAAUACGGAGGGUGCAAGCGUUACUCUGAAUCACUGGGCUUAAAUAGCGCGUAGGCUGGUGGUCAAUUCAUAUUUUAAAUCCUUUAGCUUAACUACAGAACUGCAUUUGAAACUGAUCAUCUAGAGUAUGGGAGAG